GCGUUCUUAUCGAUCGAUCGAUCGAUUAAUAAAUGAAUUAAUGAUUGCGUUUCUAAUGUGUUUUUUUUUCGACGUCUGAUUUACAAGCAAAAAAAAUACGUUUGAAAAUAUUUUGUAAUAUUUGUUUAUAGUAACGUGUGAAGCGGUCGUCAAUCCUUCUCUUUUCUUGGGUUGCCAGUUUGAACAAAAAACUCAUUCGUGCAACAAAACUCACUUGAUUGUGACUACUUAAUAGUAAUGUUUAUACAGUAGUUUAAUGUUAUGUGUUUUUUUUUUAAUAUAAAUGGGCUCAAUUUCUAAACUAUAUGUUUUGACAAGAGACCUUGUUCGCCUCGUGGACAGCUCACUUUCUUGGGUUUAGUCUAGACGCCUCGUGCAAUGCCAGUGCUUGUUGUUUAGGGAAUAAUCUGAUGAUGGAGCCUCGAGUCUUUCAAGCAGUACAAGUGUUCCUGUGUGGCAGAUUGAGGAAUUAAAUCACUUUUUAGGGUUGUGUAGGUAUAAUUUGACUUGUUACAGUGUCUGAUAUGCAUUGCACUGGAAAUGUGACUUGUGCCUCAUGUAUUUUGUAUAUUUCUUAUUAAAAAUUGAUCUUUUUCAAGAGAAAUAAAAAUUGAAAUAUUCCA